GAUGAACGCUGACAGAAUGCUUAACACAUGCAAGUCAACUUGAACUUCGGUUUGGGUGGCGGACGGGUGAGUAACGCGUAAAGAACUUGCCUCACAGAUAGGGACAACAUUUGGAAACGAAUGCUAAUACCUGAUAUUAUGAUUAUAUGGCAUCGUAUAAUUAUGAAAGCUAUAUGCGCUGUGAGAGAGCUUUGCGUCCCAUUAGCUAGUUGGAGAGGUAACGGCUCACCAAGGCGAUGAUGGGUAGCCGGCCUGAGAGGGUGAUCGGCCACAAGGGGACUGAGACACGGCCCUUACUCCUACGGGAGGCAGCAGUGGGGAAUAUUGGACAAUGGACCAAGAGUCUGAUCCAGCAAUUCUGUGUGCACGAUGAAGUUUUUCGGAAUGUAAAGUGCUUUCAGUUGGGAAGAAAAAAAUGGCGGUACCAACAGAAGAAGUGACGGCUAAAUACGUG
rnacentral:rRNA from 1 species